CAGAGACUGUGGGGUAUUUCCCCUUCCCAACUCCCGUACUGGCCUGUGAUGAAAGUAACUCCAUAGGCUGUGACUCUUGCCGCUACACUGAGAAAGGGAGGUCACAUUGGGGCCUUACCGAUGGGAAGAGCACACGUGUGA